UACGUAGGGUGCAAGCGUUAAUCGGAAUUACUGGGCGUAAAGCGCACGUAGGCGGCUUGGUAUGUCGGGUGUGAAAUCCCCGGGCUCAACCUGGGAACUGCAUUUGUGACUGCAUGGCUAGAGUGCGGCAGAGGGGGAUGGAAUUCCGCGUGUAGCAGUGAAAUGCGUAGAUAUGCGGAGGAACACCGAUGGCGAAGGCAAUCCCCUGGGCCUGCACUGACGCUCAUGCACGAAAGCGUGGGGAGCAAACAGG
rnacentral:rRNA from 1 species